rnacentral:rRNA from 1 species
AGAGUUUGAUCCUGGCUCAGGAUGAACGCUAGCUACAGGCUUAACACAUGCAAGUCGAGGGGCAGCAUGGUCUUAGCUUGCUAAGGCCGAUGGCGACCGGCGCACGGGUGAGUAACACGUAUCCAACCUGCCGUCUACUCUUGGACAGCCUUCUGAAAGGAAGAUUAAUACAAGAUGGCAUCAUGAGUCCGCAUGUUCACAUGAUUAAAGGUAUUCCGGUAGACGAUGGGGAUGCGUUCCAUUAGAUAGUAGGCGGGGUAACGGCCCACCUAGUCUUCGAUGGAUAGGGGUUCUGAGAGGAAGGUCCCCCACAUUGGAACUGAGACACGGUCCAAACUCCUACGGGAGGCAGCAGUGAGGAAUAUUGGUCAAUGGACGAGAGUCUGAACCAGCCAAGUAGCGUGAAGGAUGACUGCCCUAUGGGUUGUAAACUUCUUUUAUACGGGAAUAAAGUGAGCCACGUGUGGCUUUUUGUAUGUACCGUAUGAAUAAGGAUCGGCUAACUCCGUGCCAGCAGCCGCGGUAAUACGGAGGAUCCGAGCGUUAUCCGGAUUUAUUGGGUUUAAAGGGAGCGUAGAUGGAUGUUUAAGUCAGUUGUGAAAGUUUGCGGCUCAACCGUAAAAUUGCAGUUGAUACUGGAUAUCUUGAGUGCAGUUGAGGCAGGCGGAAUUCGUGGUGUAGCGGUGAAAUGCUUAGAUAUCACGAAGAACUCCGAUUGCGAAGGCAGCUUACUGGAUUGUAACUGACGCUGAUGCUCGAAAGUGUGGGUAUCAAACAGGAUUAGAUACCCUGGUAGUCCACACGGUAAACGAUGAAUACUCGCUGUUUGCGAUAUACUGCAAGCGGCCAAGCGAAAGCGUUAAGUAUUCCACCUGGGGAGUACGCCGGCAACGGUGAAACUCAAAGGAAUUGACGGGGGCCCGCACAAGCGGAGGAACAUGUGGUUUAAUUCGAUGAUACGCGAGGAACCUUACCCGGGCUUAAAUUGCAGAUGAAUUACGGUGAAAGCCGUAAGCCGCAAGGCAUCUGUGAAGGUGCUGCAUGGUUGUCGUCAGCUCGUGCCGUGAGGUGUCGGCUUAAGUGCCAUAACGAGCGCAACCCUUGUUGUCAGUUACUAACAGGUUCCGCUGAGGACUCUGACAAGACUGCCAUCGUAAGAUGUGAGGAAGGUGGGGAUGACGUCAAAUCAGCACGGCCCUUACGUCCGGGGCUACACACGUGUUACAAUGGGGGGUACAGAAGGCAGCUACACGGCGACGUGAUGCUAAUCCCUAAAGCCUCUCUCAGUUCGGAUUGGAGUCUGCAACCCGACUCCAUGAAGCUGGAUUCGCUAGUAAUCGCGCAUCAGCCACGGCGCGGUGAAUACGUUCCCGGGCCUUGUACACACCGCCCGUCAAGCCAUGAAAGCCGGGGGUACCUGAAGUGCGUAACCGCAAGGAGCGCCCUAGGGUAAAACUGGUGAUUGGGGCUAAGUCGUAACAAGGUAGCCGUACCGGAAGGUGCGGCUG